AUGUGUAUUCUGAAGGAGAGAGGAGGUAUGGGAUUCCGGGAUAUUCAUAGCUUCAACUUGGCAAUGUUGGCAAAGCAGUGUUGGAGACUAAUUGAGAACUUUGGUUCAUUAUGUGCACGAGUUCUGAGAGCCAAGUACUACCCUACAGGAGAUAUUCUGAAUUGUCAACUGAAGAAGGGGUCGUCCUAUGUGUGGCAAAGCAUUUGGUCUGGAAUUCAAACGUUCUAGAAGGGUUACAUUUGGAGAGUAGGCAAUGGAGAAAAGAUUAAUAUAUGGGAUGACUGUUGGAUCCCGAACAGUGCCUCCAAAAAAGUUUUAACAGUAAGGGGGAACCAAGUACUUACUAAAGUGAAUGAGUUAAUUGACCCAAUCACGGGAGAAUGAGAUGAGAUGUUAAUCCGGGAUAAUUUCUGGCACAUUGAUGCUGAACGCAUACUACAAAUCCCAUUAUUCCAUGUGGAGACAGAGGACUAUGUUGCAUGGCAUCUCACAAGGAGCGGCGUUUUUUCAGUACGUUCUGCCUAUUAUAAGCAAUGGAAGUGA
rnacentral:rRNA from 1 species